rnacentral:rRNA from 1 species
CCAGACUCCUACGGGAGGCAGCAGUGAGGAAUAUUGGUCAAUGGGCGGAAGCCUGAACCAGCCAAGUCGCGUGAGGGAAGAAGGCCCUGCGGGUCGCAGACCUCUUUGGACGGGGAGCAAGGCCGCCGACGUGUCGGCGGAAGGAGAGUACCCGUAGAACAAGCAUCGGCUAACUCCGUGCCAGCAGCCGCGGUAAUACGGAGGAUGCGAGCGUUAUCCGGAUUUACUGGGUGUAAAGGGCGUGUAGCCGGGCCGACAAGUCAGAUGUGAAAUCCGGGGGCUCAACCCCUGAACUGCAUUUGAAACUGUUGGUCUUGAGUAUCGGAGAGGCAGGCGGAAUUCCUAGUGUAGCGGUGAAAUGCGUAGAUAUUAGGAGGAACACCAGUGGCGAAGGCGGCCUGCUGGACGACAACUGACGGUGAGGCGCGAAAGCGUGGGGAGCAAACAGGAUUAGAUACCCUGGUA